AGGAAGCACACUUCGGUCAUAGAUUAAGCCAUGCAAGUUAGGUUCAGGUGAAUUUACACUAAAACAGCGCACAGCUCAUUAGUACACUCUGCACCUACUUGACAGCGACUUCGGUCUUAUACGGAUAGCCGGAGCAAUUCUCGGGCUAAUACGGGCAAUUGUAUCAACAGAAAUGAUUUAUGUUGGUAAAGUUGGCUUCUAUAGCAUGUCAUACGGUAGAGUGACCUAUCAGCUAGUACUUAGGGUCUUUACCUAGGUAGGCUAUCACGGGUAACGGGCGGUUAACGUCGGACUGCCGGAGAAGGCGCCUGAGAGACAGCGACUAUGCCUACGGGCAGCAGCAGGCGCGAAACUUACCCAAUCGAGUAUUUCGGAGGUGGUAAUGACCAGUUUCGGUUAUGACUCAAUGGGUCAUUAUGAAUAGGUUGGUGCACUGAAUACACCAAGUAAUCAAGCAGAGGGCCAGUCUGGUGCCAGCAGCUGCGGUAAUACCAGCUCUGCGAGUUUGCUCCCAUAUUGUUGCAGUUAAAACGCCCGUAGUCUGAAAUAAUACAAAGAUCCACCGCGAAUAAAAUCAGAGCGCUCAGGGUAUAAUUAUGAAUGACCCAAGCGUGGUAUGGAGCGUUUACCAACAAUGGUAAGGUCAAAGAGAGCCAUCGGGGCAGGUCAUAUGUUGUGGCGAGCGGUGGAAUGCAUUGACCCACAGGAGAUGAACAAAAGCGAAAGCAGCCUGCUAGAGGGUUUCUGUCGAUCAAGGGCGAAAGUAGGGGUAGCGAACCGGAUUAGAGACCCGGGUAGUCCCUACAGUAAACGAUGUCGACUAGGUGUUGUUUUAAAUUAAGCAGUGCCUUUCGAAAAAUCAAAGUUCAUGGACUCUGGGGGAACUACGAUCGCAAGACUGAAACUUGAAGGAAUUGACGGAAGGGCACACAAGGGGUGGAGCCUGUGGCCUAAUUUGAAUCAACACGGGGAAACUUACCAGGACCAGAUGAUUUGGUGACUGACAGUCUAAAGGGCUUUCAGGAUAGGUCUGUGGGUGGUGCAUGGCCGUUGGUGGUGCGUGGAUUGAUCUGUCAUUGGUUGAUUCAGGUAACGAGCGAGAUUACCACUGAAUGGUCUAGAAUAUAUUACUUCUGUUGAUAUAUUCAUAAUUCAGGACUGCCUGGUAUAUAACAGGAGGAAGGAGGUAGCAAUAACAGGUCCGUGAUGUCCUUCAGAUGCCCUGGGCUGCACGCGUGCUACAAUGUGGAUUGCAAAGAGCAUUUGCAAAGUUGAUAAACCAAGCAACACUCUAAUCAUCCACGUAGUUGGGAUUGAGGAUUGUAAUCAUCCUCAUGAACUAGGAAUCCCUUGUAAGCGUGUGUCACAAACGCACGUUGAAUACGUCCCUGCCCUUUGUACACACCGCCCGUCGCUCCUACCGAUUGGAUGGUAUGGUGAAUACGUUGGACUCAUUUGGGAAAGACGCAUGAGCCAUGCCAUCUAGAGGAAGGAGAAGUCGUAACAAGGUAACG
rnacentral:rRNA from 1 species